rnacentral:rRNA from 1 species
AAUACGUUCCCGGGCCUUGUACACACCGCCCGUCAAGCCAUGGGAGUCUGGAGUACCUAAAGUCCGUAACCGCAAGGGUCGGCCUAGGGUAAUACAGGUGACUGGGGCUAAGUCGUAACAAGGUAGCCGUACCGGAAGGUGCGGCUGGAACACCUCCUUUCUGGAGUUC